rnacentral:rRNA from 1 species
CCUACGGGGGGCAGCAGUGGGGAAUAUUGCACAAUGCGGGAAACCCUGAUGCAGCGACGCCGCGUGAGCGAUGAAGUACCUCGGUACGUAAAGCUCUAUCAGCAGGGAAGAAAGUGACAGUACCUGACUAAGAAGCUCCGGCUAACUACGUGCCAGCAGCCGCGGUAUUACGGAGGGGGCAAGCGUUAUCCGGAUUGACUGGGCGUAAAGGGAGCGCAGGUGGCACGGCAAGUCUGGAGUGAAAGCCGGGAGCUCAACCCCAGGACGGCAAUGGAAACUACCCGGCUAGAGUGUCGGAGGGGUAUGCAGAAUUCCUGGUGUAGCGGUGAAAUGCGUAGAUAUUAGGAGGAACACCAGUGGCGAAGGCGGCAUACUGGACGAUAACUGACGCUGAGGCGCGAAAGCGUGGGGAGCAAACAGGAUUAGAUACCCCAGUAGUC